rnacentral:lncRNA from 1 species
UUCACCAAAAUGACCCCUCAGUCUAUUUUACAAACGACCCUUCAGCAUAUAUACAUAAUGACCCUAUUACACAAAUAGCCUAUUACAUAAAUAGCCUAUUACAGAAUAGUCUAUUACACAAAUAGCCUAUUAGGCUCAGAUAUGACUCCCUCAUUGACUCAUAAUGGUCUAUGUAUGGGAUUUAUCAUCAUUGCCCUACAUAUAUCUCAACA